rnacentral:rRNA from 1 species
AUACGGAGGGGGUUAGCGUUGUUCGGAAUUACUGGGCGUAAAGCGCACGUAGGCGGACUGGAAAGUUGGGGGUGAAAUCCCGGGGCUCAACCCCGGAACUGCCUCCAAAACUUCCAAUCUAGAGAUCGUGAGAGGUGAGUGGAAUUCCAAGUGUAGAGGUGAAAUUCGUAGAUAUUUGGAGGAACACCAGUGGCGAAGGCGGCUCACUGGCUCGAUACUGACGCUGAGGUGCGAAAGCGUGGGGAGCAAACAGAAUUAGAAACCCUAGUAGUCC